rnacentral:rRNA from 1 species
AACGAACGCUGGCGGCAUGCCUAACACAUGCAAGUCGAACGAGACCUUCGGGUCUAGUGGCGCACGGGUGCGUAACGCGUGGGAACCUGCCCUUAGGUUCGGAAUAACUCCCCGAAAGGGGUGCUAAUACCGGAUAAUGUCUUCGGACCAAAGAUUUAUCGCCUUUGGAUGGGCCCGCGUUGGAUUAGCUAGUUGGUAGGGUAAAAGCCUACCAAGGCGACGAUCCAUAGCUGGUCUGAGAGGAUGAUCAGCCACACUGGGACUGAGACACGGCCCAGACUCCUACGGGAGGCAGCAGUGGGGAAUAUUGGAAAAUGGGCGAAAGCUUGAUCCAGCAAUGCCGCGUGAGUGAGGAAGGCCUUAGGGUUGUAAAGCUCUUUUACCCGGGAUGAUAAGGACGGUACCGGGAGAAAAAGCCCCGGCUAGUUCCGUG